UGUGAUGUUCCAGUCUGUCUCUGUCUGUCUGAUGGUCAUCAUGUUUCAUCUAAUCCAAGCAGCUCUGCUCUCUGUUCAGCUGUUUGUUGUGUCUCAUGUCUUUGCAGGGACUCAUUCAGUUGACCAGAGGAAUAUACUGGGUGUUCAGAGGAGACUACAUCACCUUCACUUGCAACAUAUCCAUGAACAACACAUUACAAAUCAACUGGACCAAAGACAGAUUCCUUUUUUCUCAUGCACUGCUAAACAAUCUGACUUUUUCAAACUUCACCUCUCACAGAGUGAGAAUAGACCUUGACUUUCACUCAAAGCUGAGUAUUUCUAAUGUUCAGCAUGACGACGCAGGAAUGUACGUAUGUAAUGUAACUGACAGAAAAGGCACAAACACUAUUCAGUGGAAUUUAACUGUGUCUGAGAAACCUGAAGAAAUAAACUCAUCAUGGUAUUUUCUCUACAUACUCACACCUGUCAUUGGAGUUCUUCUAUGUGGCAUCACUUCAGCUGUCUGCCUCUGCAGAAAACUCAGGACCAGGACAUCAAAUCAGGACCCAGUCCAGGACCAGGUUCACCCUCAGUCAAGAGGAGAGAGAGUCCUCUCUCAACCACAGGCUGUCACACACACUAGGACAAAUAACAAGAAGAGGAGUCAGUACACAGAGAGGCUUAAUUCAAUCUAUGGUCUUUACUGACAUGUCGUUCAAAUAAAACCUAAACAAAAGACAUUUUUUCCUCAUUAAAUCAGAGGAAUGUUGUUUUUUAUUGUAUAUCUUAUAUUCAUGGCAUUCUGUGUAUUUUAAUGUUUUUUAUAUGUUUGAUGGUCCUGUCUGUUCUGCACUCUGAGCUCAACAAGACCAGUUCUUAACAAUGUUUGUUGUAAUGACAAUAAAGGUAGUUCAACUGAAGAGGCUUUAACUUGAGCUCUGUGCCCUCUAGUGUCUCGUGAGGGAAUCACAUGGAGUCUUUUCAAUCAAAAUAAUUCACGUGUCAAAUAUUGAAUUUGAGUGAAGUUUUAUUCUUACUUUUCCAUUAUUCCCCAUUGACACAACAGAUUUAUAAUCUAAUCAUGUUGGCACAUUAAACAGUAUAAAAUGAGAUGGUUAGAAUGUCCUCAUAGUGCAAGUCUCAACAUGUCUUGUGAUCAAAAUUGAACUAUUUCAAAGUAGGAGCAGUCGACUCAAACACAUUUAGAAUUCACUGAGCACCACAAGCAUGUAAGCAUCAAAAAGCAUGCUCUGAAACCAUGCUCAGCAACAGGGUCACACUGCAUGGGUAAUGUCUUCAGUGUCAUACAAAUGUGGUUUUCCUGCAGAUGAGCAUGUCUAUUAUGUGCAUUUUAUGUUUCAGUGUAUUAUAUUAUUACUAAUGAAAUUAUUUUGAGUUUAUGUUUAAGAAGGACUGACUGAAUAUUCUAAUUAAAUAACUGUAUUUACAAUGUAAACAAAAUGUUAUAUUCCAUGAAAGGUGGGAGACAUAGUUUUAAGCCUAGAGUAACAACAACUAACCACUUCCUUUUCUCUGUGCCUCCUCCACAAAUACACAUAAGAGCUGACUGUAAAGUUUGAGUCUCUCUCUCUGAUGGCCAUCAUGUUCAGACGAGAUCCUGGAGCUCUGCUCUCUGUUCAGCUGUUAGUUGUGUGUCAUGUCUUUGCAGAGAUUUGUCUUGCUGACCAGAGGAAUAUAUGGGUGUCCAGAGGAGACUCUGUCAUGUUCACUUGCAACAUUUCCACAAUAAAUGCAACACAAAUCAACUGGACCAAAGACAGAUUCCUUUUUUCUCAUGCACUGUUAAACAAUCUGACUUUUUCAAACUUCACCGCUCACAGAGUGAGAAUAGACCUUGACUUUCACUCAAAGCUGAACAUUUUUAAUGUUCAGCAUGACGACGCAGGACCCUAUAGAUGUAAUAUAACUAACAUAAAUGGUACAAAGACUAUUCAGUGGAAUUUAACUGUGUCUGAGAAACCUGAAGAAAUCAUCUCAUCACAGAAUUUUCUCUACAUACUCACACCUGUCAUUGGAUUUCUUCUAUGUGGCAUCACUUCAGCUGUCUGCCUCUGCAGAAAACACAUGAGCAGGAGCCCACGAGAGAAACUAUAUGACAGAAGCACUCUGAGUAUUGCCCAGUUUCAUGUUCAGUUGGGAGGAGAGUCCCUACAGGUGAUUCCUCCUGAACCCAGAAGUUGUAUAGUACACAGACACGUCAGAAGCCGUCAGCAUUUUUAGAGACUCAGUUCAACGUACGGCCUCGACUGAGCUGAAAAACAUGAAGUUCAGAUUAAAGAUGAAUAUGUAACAAGAAGAAUGAUGUGUAUAGAAACUACAAAAGAGGGGAAACAUUUGAUGUAUAAAAGUGAAUUAGUCCAGUUCAGAGAAUGGUAGAGAUAAAUGGUUGAUUAGAAAUAAGAUUUUUUAAAUGAAAUUAACACAAGACAAUGUUUCAUUUCAGAUUACUGUAUGUGGUUGGGUAUGUGACCACAACAUGCAUGUAAAAUACAUUUAAUGUUUCUAAAAACCUAAGGGCUGUUGUCUUGUUGUUGUUUCUUUUGGUUACUUCUUUGGUUUUCUUAUGUUGUGUUUUAGAAAAAUGCAAAAAUAUUUAAUGCAAUAAUCUGAUUAAAUGUCAGUUAAUGCUGUUUUAAGACAGACGUAUUAAAGCAUUAAAACAUCAGCAGUCUGUGAUUGGUGCAUGACGAUUUCUGUCCAGCUGCAAAAUAAUA